rnacentral:rRNA from 1 species
CUACGGGAGGCAGCAGUAGGGAAUCUUCCGCAAUGGACGAAAGUCUGACGGAGCAACGCCGCGUGAGUGAUGAAGGCUUUCGGGUCGUAAAACUCUGUUGUUAGGGAAGAACAAGUGCUAGCUGAAUAAGCUGGCACCUUGACGGUACCUAACCAGAAAGCCACGGCUAACUACGUGCCAGCAGCCGCGGUAAUACGUAGGUGGCAAGCGUUAUCCGGAAUUAUUGGGCGUAAAGCGCGCGCAGGUGGUUUCUUAAGUCUGAUGUGAAAGCCCACGGCUCAACCGUGGAGGGUCAUUGGAAACUGGGAGACUUGAGUGCAGAAGAGGAAAGUGGAAUUCCAUGUGUAGCGGUGAAAUGCGUAGAGAUAUGGAGGAACACCAGUGGCGAAGGCGACUUUCUGGUCUGUAACUGACACUGAGGCGCGAAAGCGUGGGUAGCAAACAGGAUUAGAUACCCUGGUAGUCCACGCCGUAAACGUUGGGCACUAGGUGUGGGUCUCAACCAACGAGAUCCGCGCCGUCGCUAACGCAUUAAGUGCCCCGCCUGGGGAGUACGGCCGCAAGGCUAAAACUCAAAG